GUGUUCUCUAGAGUUCCCCUGAACGCUUCAUGAGGCUUCUUGUAGAAUAUAAUAGCCCUCUUGAAGUGUUUGGGGGAACUCCCGUGUUCAC
rfam:Nicotiana attenuata strain TT chromosome 2, whole genome shotgun sequence.